ensembl:lncRNA
AGGUGACACUGCCCUGUGGGUGAUAUACCAGGUCAUCUAAGGAGGAGAUUUAAAAAAAUACACAAAAAAUCUCUUCUCCCUUUUAGGGCAGACAAUAGCUCCUGACCCUCAUGGCUGCUCUACCGGUCACAGAUAUGGCCUAUAGGCGUACCACCAGGGCGAUGUGUCACAGUAUGUAGAAAUUGUAUUCCAUAUGUUUGAUACAUGUGAAAUGACAGUUAAAAUUCAGCAUGUGAGGACUACAUUAAUUCUGGUAAUGUCAAGUGUCUUCUUGAUUUUAGUGAGAAAGUGCAAAUAGGAAAGCGGGAUACCUAGUCAGUUGUACAACUGAAUGCCAUCAACUGAAAUGUGUGUUCCAAAUACCUGUACUCAAUUCUGAUCUUUUCUAUUUCAAUAAAACUAGGAUAUAAUGUGUAACGGGUGUUGUAUGUUGGUGAAUUAAUAUAGUUGGAGUUGUCUGCUUGUCAUUUGAUAAGGUGUUCCCCUGAUAAAAGCAUUAUGUGUAGUGUUAGAGACUUAGACACUUCCUCUUUCGGUCUCCCCCUAUCUAUUCUGUGCAACCGCUGAUCUAGUUGAGAAUCUAAUUUGGAAAACCGCUCAUCGAAUACAGAAUUUCCCCAGUAUCAUUAUUUUUGCAUGUGUGGAAUUCCUCCUGUAUCUCUGUGAUAUGCCAUGUCAUGCUGGAGGAGGUUUCAUCUUCCGUCCCACUCUGUCCUUUUUCAUCAUUUUGACUGACUCAUACCUUCGCUCCGCUGUAUAUUCUACAGAUAUUGAGUGCUACUUCACAUAGCGUACAUACUGUAUGUCUGUUUAACCCCCGUUCACACACUGUGUGUCUGUUUAACCCCCGUUCACACACUGUGUGUCUGUUUAACCCCCGUUUCACACACUGUGUGUCUGUUUAACCCCCGUUCACACAAUGUUUGUCUGUUUAACCCCGUUCACACACUGUAUGUCUGUUUAACCCCCGUUCACACACUGUAUGUCUGUUUAACCCCGUUCACCACGUGCUGUUGUCUGUUUAACCCCGUUCACACACUGUGUGUCUGUUUAACCCCCGUUUCACC